UCUCGUGUCGUGCUAACUAUUUUUCUAUCGUCGUUCCAGAGGUGAGUUGAGACCUGCCGCACCUGCCUGGGAUGCCUGGCGUGAGAGGUGAGGUGAGCCGCGGGGCAGGGUGAGCCGGGGACAGCCAGGCACACCCACCCGCCCAUCCUGCACGCUCCUGCCGCCUCCCACUACUCAGAUUUGUAAAGUCCUGAAAAUACCCGAGACUAGUCCAUAAGUGACAAGUGUCAAGACUCUCCACGCGCUGCUGGAUUCUGCAGUUAUGGACGAGGACGAAGGAUCCGCAGGUGUCUCUAGUAAGCAGGUGAGCAGCGCCGUGACUACCUGGCUUUGAAGAAUUAGUGUAAUGACUGUAGUUGAUGAUUCAGAAGAGGUGAGUGAACCAAAAAUAAGAGAGACAGAAGUACAGAAUGGCGUGUGGUGGAGAGUCAUGAGAUGGAAAAAAAGUAAUGAGUGGACUGGUGAGCAACAUACAAAAGUAGAGAUUAAUGAAAGAGACAGAGAUAUUGGUUCGGCGAAAGAGACAAGUGACGUAGAAAUAAAAUGAGAAGAGAUGCAAUUUGGUGUGUGGAGGCGAGCUGUGUCGAGAAAAAGUGGGUGAAUGGAGCCGUGGGUAUGCGUAGAUAAAUAAGUAGAUUCUGAUGGAGCAAGUGAGCGAUAGUAAAGAGAGUAAAUAAGUGUAGCCAUUUAAGAUUGCAUGAAAGAGGAGGAGGAGUCUCCAUGCCGCGGGGGGUUACGUUGAAUGAAAGUGACUGGAAUGGGAAUGGCGUACUGAGAAAAGGAAAACUCGAGUCUUCGAAGAAAACUGACAUGUGCUGUACGGAAAGAUAAAAAAGAAAAAGAAAAAAUUAGCUAUUGGUGACAAAUUAGCAAAUGAGUGAUGUAAGGGGCCCAAAAAAUUCUGGAAGAGGAUAGCGAAUGACAGAUGUGAAAAAGAAGAAGAAAAAAAUUGAUGGAGGAGGAGAAUGACGAAUGAGUGCGUGGUGUGAAGACAGGGUACAUACCAGAAUUAAGACUAGAGUUUGUAUUAUUUUUAAACGCUUCCAUCUCUCAUCAGGACAAUGUUCAAAUGUCACAGGGAUGAUUAACCGAAUCCUCUUAAUGCUCUCUUUUAUCAGUGUACCAGAACUGUCAUCGAAGCAUCAGGAGAAUCAUUAAAGUCCCCUUAAAAAUCCUAAUAUUCAUAACUUUCAUUAAAAUCUGUGAAAAGCUGUGGAGGGCAAUGCAAUGAAGCGCCUAAGA